AAUUUAGUCUGUGGCACUUGUCUGGUUUUCAAACUCAGGCCUUCAAUGUUAUUGGAAUCUGAUGUUUUAUUUGACACAGAAUCUGUGGAAAAAAGUUCAUGAAGACAUGUUGAAUUCAAUAAUUUAUUAACUAUAAUUCAAGGUUAACUAUAAAGAGUGAAAUUUGAAUGUAAAACAAUAACUGGCUAUUCAAGUUUUAAUGAAAUCAUAUUUUGUUUUCAGACGUUUUCAGAUUACUCAGAACCAUUGAAACGACUUAUUUUGGCGAUUGAUGAGGAAAAAUGUAAUGUUUUAUCGAGGAAGCCUUCAGAUCUGGACGAGAUUGUCGACAACUUUGAUCGUCAUUCGGAUUGUAUACAGCACAUAGCAUUGUUCGCUUUGGCGUGUUCCGAAUAUUCGAAAACAGAGAGAUGCUCGUUGCUGAGAGUUGUUCUGCCUCGCCGUAAUACGCAACUUUACUCAUUAUUAACACUUGAGUUUAUAGGUUAUAUCAAGUAUUAAAAACGUUGGUGAUUUCAAAAGU